rnacentral:lncRNA from 1 species
GGGCAGGUCACUUAGAAAACACAUCAAGUCCCAGUUUUGUCCAAAUUGAAGAAUCUUUAUUUAGCUGGCCAGCUGGUGACUGCUCUUUGUAGGACCCAUAACUGUCUCUGCAAGGAACAGCCCCAAGCCUGAGCAUUUUAGGAUAUUUAAAGUUAAAAAUCACAUCCGGGUUGACAUAGCUGCAGGCAAGCGGGUACAGAAGCUGAAUUGGGCAGUUAGUGAGACAAUGCAAUGGGUUCAUUGGUACUUCCCACGGGACUUUCCAGGUUGGCAUAGCAGUAAGCAAGCAGAAGGGAAGGGGGUCAAAAGGACCCUAGUUGAGUACAAGUUAGAGAAUGGUUACUAAUGUCUAGACAAUCUCUGACAAGGUACAUUAACCAAGAAAAAUGGAAAGCAAAGAGAACAAUUUCACAUCGUAUAAGAAUUGCUAUUUUGUGUUGCCAAGUGUGCUAUGCUAGGUAACUAUUAAUGGGUACAGAGGUGGGGCUUUCCCAUGGGAGAAGCAUUUCUUUCAUGAUAUGGAGUCUCAGGGUAAAAUGGAGUCUGUUUGGUCAUUGCCAUAUAGCCUGGCCCAUAACAUUCCCCACUGGUUUUAUGGAACUAAUCAAACCAUUGAUUAAUCAUCAUUGGUAUACAGUUGAUUAUAGUGAGUACAGAGGACCAUCUGUUUUACAGAAUUUACUUUUUAUAUAUAUCUUAUUAAACAGUUAAAAAUGCAGGGUCCAAUUAAAAACCCUAAGAGGACAAACAAAAAUGGACUGGCUACAGCUGAUAUAAGAGUAGUUAGCCAAGGGGACCAGGAGAACAAAUUUUGAUACCAGUUUCCUCAUGUUGUCUUGCUUCUUCCCUUUCCUUUAAUCGCUUUCUGAUUAGAGAUAGACUGUCUCUUACCAUUAUUGAGUGAUUAGUAUAGAAGCAACAUGUUUCCCCUAAUGCCAUACAUAGGCUUCCCUGUUUUAAGAGCAAGAGAUCUAAACCUCUUCUGUUUUGUAAUACCACUUCUGCCAGGGAAUCAAGAGAGGUCUCAAGUCUGUUCACUGAUUAAUAGUUCCCUCAGAUCCAAAUCUAUCUGUUUGUUCAGGGCUUUGGAAUUUUCAUUUCUAGUUAAAAGGGCUGUUGUACCCAGGGUCUGAAGAUCCCGCAACCUUUGGGCCCAUUAGUACGGGAACUAGUAUAGAGGUUGUACUUCUAGGAUGGUAUAUGAGCCCCAGAUGUUUUUGUCUAACUUCUCGUCUAGCUACCAUUAUAGUAGCACACUUGGGGAAUAGUGUGAACAGUCACACAAAUUUGUUCCAUCUUAAUGUGCCAAAAAGCUGUAGGACAAGCAGGGAGUUACUCUUGAUAGGCAGGCAAACCAAAUACCUUCUGGAGCCACACAGAAAUUAGAAGACUCCUGGAGUGUAUUUAAUAAUACCUGGGUGGAAAGACAGGAAUGUCAG